rnacentral:rRNA from 1 species
GAUGAACGCUGGCGGCGUGCUUAACACAUGCAAGUCGAACGAAGCAUUUAGGACAGAUUACUUCGGUUUGAAGUUCUUUAUGACUGAGUGGCGGACGGGUGAGUAACGCGUGGGUAACCUGCCUUGUACUGGGGGAUAGCAGCUGGAAACGGCUGGUAAUACCGCAUAAGCGCACAAUGUUGCAUGACAUGGUGUGAAAAACUCCGGUGGUAUAAGAUGGACCCGCGUCUGAUUAGCUAGUUGGUGAGAUAACAGCCCACCAAGGCGACGAUCAGUAGCCGACCUGAGAGGGUGACCGGCCACAUUGGGACUGAGACACGGCCCAGACUCCUACGAGAGGCAGCAGUGGGGAAUAUUGCACAAUGGAGGAAACUCUGAUGCAGCGACGCCGCGUGAGUGAAGAAGUAAUUCGUUAUGUAAAGCUCUAUCAGCAGGGAAGAUAGUGACGGUACCUGACUAAGAAGCUCCGGCUAAAUACGU